rnacentral:tRNA from 1 species
CUGGUGGGGGGGGCGCUGCCCCGUGAACAAGUCUACAGCUU